UACGGAGGGGGCUAGCGUUGUUCGGAUUUACUGGGCGUAAAGCGCACGUAGGCGGCGUAUCAAGUCAGAGGUGAAAGGCCUGGGCUCAACCUAGGAACGGCCUUUGAUACUGUAUGCUUGAGUUCGGAAGAGGGUAGUGGAAUUCAAGUGUAGAGGUGAAAUUCGUAGAUAUUUGGAAGAACACCGGUGGCGAAGGCGGCUACCUGGUCCGAUACUGACGCUGAGGUGCGAAAAGCGUGGGGGAGCGAACGGAUUAGAUACCCGGGUAGUCC
rnacentral:rRNA from 1 species